UACGGAGGGUGCGAGCGUUGUCCGGAAUCAUUGGGCGUAAAGGGCGCGUAGGUGGCCCGGUCAGUUCGUGGUGAAAGCGCGGGGCUCAACUCCGCGUCGGCCAUGAAUACUGCUGGGCUCGAGCACUGUAGGGGCGGGUGGAAUUCCGGGUGUAGCGGUGAAAUGCGCAGAUAUCAGGAGGAACACCGGUGGCGAAGGCGGGUCUCUGGGCCGAUACUGACGCUGAGGAGCGAAAGCGUGGGGAGCGAACAGG
rnacentral:rRNA from 1 species